AACUGCUGCAGUCAGAUUUUUAACCUACUGCGCCAAAGCAGGAACUCCUGGAAAUGCAGCAUUUUUAAUUUGUUCACUGCUCCGCAGCCUCACUCACAACUCCAAGACUCACAUCAAUGUGGAAAACACUUUGAACCAAAAGGCACAGUUCCCAGCCUUAUGCAAAAUGACACAUUAGCCAGAGAAUGAGGCUUAACCUCGGUCAGGUGGCAGGGUACAAGACAGACUGUGAAUAUCUGUGCUAAUUCUGAAACAGUAUAAAUUCCUGGCCGUCUUAACAAAAUGCAGUGCUCUUUUAUGUGGCUGCGCACAGUCAGGCCAGUAUCAUGGUUCAGAGCAUGGAUGCUGGUGCCAGGUUGCCGGGGUUGGUCAGCAUUUCAAGCUUGGGCAGAUGAUUUCACCUGCCUGCACCUCCAUGUCCCCAGGUGUGAAUGAGCAGGAGGAUAAUACGCCCUGCAAAAGAUUUUAAGAGGAAUACGCCAGUUGGCGAACAUGGAGAAGUAAAACUGGUGUGUGGCCAGGAGGGUGCCCUGUGUGAGUGUUUGCUAUUGUUAUGAAUACAUUUAUGAUCUUGUAUAUUUCAGGAACCCAGUUUGGAAAGUGAGACACAAAAAUCAGUCUGAGAAAGUAAAGUUUAUACGUACAAAGUGGUCUCAAAAUUCUUAACAAGGUAAACCGUUGUUUGAUUUUAAAGAGCUUUUAACAGUCUCAGAAUGCAUUUUUCUCCUGAGCCCAAAGAAAAACCAAUAAAACACUUUAGAAAAUUAGUUCCAUUGUGGUAUACCUUUUAGCAGUUACUUAUGACUUAGAGAUUAGGAUCCCAGAGGAUUAUUUGGCUUAUCCAGGUUUUUUCAUAACCUCUAAUUUAUAUAAUGAUUCAGUCAUACAGUAGAGAAGGGACCUUGUCUUAAACUUUUAAAACAAGUGCAACAUGGAGUAGAAGUACAGGGACAGGCACUCAGCAAGUAUUCAUGACUGAUGUCAUUAGCACCAUGGCUCAGAUCCAUCAUGGUUAUGAGCCUGGUACCCAGCAAAUGCUUGACAUUCGCUGGGUCACUUCAUCUUCACAGCGACCUUUUGCGUAGGCUCCAUCAUUAUGUCCAUUCUUAGGGAAGCAAUUAAAACUUAAUGAGGUCAAUUAAAUGACCAAGUACCACACAGCCUGUAGCGUGGCUGAGGUCAGGAAUGGAACCCAGGCUGGCUGAAAACAACUGAGCGAUAACACCCCAGACUUUUCUCUUAGAUUCAGUCACUGUUACCCUCUGCCACAUUUGCUUUAUUGCUCUCUGUCCCUAUCCAUCUCUCUCUCUCUCUCUCUCUGUCUGUAUCUAUAAGCAGACCUGGCCUCUUACCUCUAAAUUCUUUGGCAUAUAUUUCCUAAGACUAAGAACAUGCUCCUACACAAUGAACACCCAUGAUUAUGCCAUCCCUCUCUGGUUCAAAAAGAAAAAGAAAAAGAAAACAGGAAUGGAAGCUACUUUUUAUCCAUAACUUCAGAUGAUUAUAUGAGAUGGAAUUCUCCAGCUUUAUCCCACAAUGAUUAUACCUGGUGGACUGAGAUCCAAGCCUAGAAUGCUCUGAAUGUUAACGGCCCAUUACCGAUCUGGAAAACCAACAAAGCUCAUUGAUCUAUUUACACAUUUAUAAGCUCUUACUGCACUACCUCUCCAAGAAUCUGCAUAUUAGUUAAAUUUUACUGAAAUGCGCUAAUGCCAAAGCCAAGCCAGCUGUGCAGACAGGGAUGCCUUUGGAGGGUCUCAAGGGUUUACCGAGGGUGAGCCAUGUGUCAGGUAUAGAGGGGAGACCUAGUCCCUGCCCUCAAGCACACCUCAGCACUAACCAAGGAGACAACCCCAGUGCAGUGUGAGGAGUGCUCCCGCAGAGCAUGGAGAAAGGACUGGUUGACCACCUUGGGGGUGACAGUGGGAAGGGUCACAUCAGAAGACAAAGCGAACCCAGCCUCGAGCAGUUUGUUCUCUGCCAGGGAAAAAGAAGGCAAAGUGGACACAACUGUGUUUUAGGAGCUAUUUGCAGUAGGUCUCUCUGAAGCCUAAGAGUGUGUUUGAGAUUAUGUCUAGAGAUGACUUUGUGUGGAGCCACAGACACGACCCUCAUCUGAGUACAAUGCUGUGGGGUGUAAGAGGGAAAUGGGAUGGUGUUUGCCUUCUAACAGGGGAGCCUAUACAUGAGGCAUCUUAAGAAAACCAAUUUUUAAACAGGCAAAACCAAACUGUUUCCAGAACUUUCUCAGUUUGUCUCACAUCAUUCUCGGUGCACAAAAUUUUCCUUGCCAUGCUGGCAUUGUCGAAAUAGAAAUUUAUGAACUGUGGCUUUUGGAAAUAGAAAGGCUGAUUUUUCCUGUAAUGCCAGACAUAAGGGACCCUAUACAUGUAACUAACAAAUAGCUUACACAUAAUAAGUUCCAAAGGAGGCAUUUUAUUAAAAUUCAGUGUGGAGAAUAAGCACUGUGAACUCACAGAGGGGGCCUCCUAGAAGAGGCAACCCUUAAAGGAUGGCAAACACUCAGAGCUGAUAACUGCCACCACUUUCCCUUUUUCCUGUGGGGCAGAGUGCGGGGAGCAGAGAGAAAAGAGAUUGAAAAUAAAUUAUAAAUGAAAAAGAGAAAACUAUCACAAAAAUUCUCUUCUGGACAUGUGAUACUUUAAAGUUUAAUCGUCAGGUAGGUGGAAAACCUUUUGUGUAAAUGUGAAAGAAGAAUGAAUGGCCAUGAUUUAAAGCAACAGAAUGCAUCUCCCCCAAGUGCUCUCCUUCCCAACACUUGUUUUAUCCGUGUUAGUUCAAAAACAUUUUCCUGGAGUUUCAGGCCUGCGGCUGCGCCAGUGUAAAGUCAGGGUGCAGAGGAAGUCCCCCUCUGUGAUGCCUGGGUCCAAGAGGGGGAACUGGACUGGGGCUGGCUCUCCACCUACUUCUGCUUACUCUACAGAAUGAUUCAGGGGUGUGUGGGUGUGUGUGGGGGGGGAUAUUUCUAACCUGUUUUUUUUUCCACAGCCUUAUCUGAAAAGUGAAGGUAUUAAUCACUGUCCCUAACAGAACUGGUGGGACGGUUACUUCUCUUGUAAAUAAGUUCCAAAGGAGCUUAAGUAAAAAACUUCCUGGUUUUCAAAUUAGGGAAAGCAGAAUAAUUCUCCAAAGCCAGUAUGCUUUCUCGUUUGCCCAUUCACGAUUAAACGGUCACUCAACGCAAUGUCUCCAUAGUGAGCCUGUGUAUGCACAUUGGUUUUCUUCUGAGAAAGUUCAAAAAUAAGUCAUACCUAGUUUUCUGUGUCAAUAUCAUUAUCGGUAUAUAUCUUUAAAAACACUCAAAAUGCAGAAAAGUAUUGUCUGUUAAAGCUGUUUCAUGUGCAAACCAGUCUUUUCAAUAAGGAACUCUUAAUUUAGACAAAGUAGGUGUUUUCAUUAAAGAAUUCCUUCAACUACUAAGAAGAGGGGUGUUUUGUUAGAUUUUUAUGGAAGUAAAUGAAAUAUCAUAACAUAGGGAGUUUAUAAUUUUUUUCCUCAGCAAUGGCUUUAUUCAUGGAACUUCCCUUAAAUGUAAAGUUAAUGAUAUGAAAGGUUAAUGAUAUGAAAGGUAAUUUUAUCAUUCAUCAAGAGGUCAGGAUAUGGGUUAUUUCUACAGAACAGUUCAUCUUAUUUUUAGGAGAUAGCCAUUUGUGUGCUUUUGUCAUCCCAGUUAGUUACCAUCUUAAUCAGUAGCAGGUCACACUGGCAGUCCCUCUUUAAUGAUGGAACUCAUGUGGAUUCAAAAAGAAGAUAAAUCUUCUUUGCCCCAUUUCUUUAUAGCACACAAGUUGACUUAACUCUAAAAUCAGUUACUGACGUGUAACACAGAAUAAUCAUAUUCUACAGAAAAUGUGAUUUAAAAAAAAAAAAACAAACCACAAAUAAACACCCUUUAGAAAACCAGUCAUUUGAAUUAUAUCUUUCUACCACAGAAUGUUGAAGGUCUUUAUGAGAAAUUCCUGAGAAAAUUAAACAUUUUACAUGUGGUUUUAUAUCACAUACAAGUUGAAACACAGAGGACUAAACUCAAACUCAAGCGAUACUGUUUUAAAUUCUUAAUUUGUAGCUGUUUUAGGCUGGAUGUGAAAAGGAUGAGUUCUCAGAAGAUUUGGGGUGUACCCUCAUCCUUCCUCUAAAUCACUCCUUAUCCCCAUUAAAACUUACCCACCCCAUCCUCCCUCCUCUAUUCUAGAUCUCUCCUUUCAAAGAUAACUAGCCAAAUGAACAUAAUAAACAAGUCCAAGCAGUUGGAGGGGCGGCCGCCACCCCACCGUCUCCAAAUAACUGAUUCGCAUUUCCGAGACGGUUCACCUGAAGCCUUGCCUGCUACCUUGGUUCUCCCACCUGAAGGAGAUGGUUCUAACGGUAAGAAAUUCAGACUAAGUAGAAGGGAAGGGAAGCACUAAGACAGAGGUACAAUUUCCCAAGAUGAACAAUAAGCAGAAACUUUCUCAGGAUCUUGAUUUUUACAGGCCUUCUUUCAUCUUCCCUGCUUGGUUUUAGGACCUCAAUCAAAACAGCCAACUUCAGAAUUUAGGGAAUUAGAGCUAAGUUCUGAUGGGAAAGCCCAACACUGUUUUCUUAUGCAAUUUAGAUGCUAGUGAAUGGAUCCAAAUAGAAAUUCGCAUUGAAUUCCAUUUUAAGGAUUAUGUUUUUUACUGGUACACAAACAAUGUAAAUAAACAUGGGGAAAUAGUUAAAGGGAGCCACCUAAACUUAAUCAUUUUAAUUUUCAAAAGCAUAGUUACCUUCCUUUUCAUCUAUUAAAAUGGCUUUGGAGCUAGAAUGUACCUGGCUUCAUCAACAUAGGAUCAUGCCUUUCAGUAGAAAUAAGUGUAUAUUCACUUCUUAGCAACAAAUUAAUAGUUUCCAAAUAUUUGUACCUUUGGUGAAUAAAGUCAAGGUGAAUAAAGUCAAGGCUCUCUCACCAUGGCUUGGUUAUAAGGGUCAACCACUGUGACUCUUUUCUUUUUAAAGAAAACGUUAUAGCAUGCAGUUCUUUUGGUAUGCAAAUGAGUGGCUGGUGCUGAAAAUAAGCAGCAAAAUAAGAAAAAAAAUAUAUAUAUAUAAUUGUGGAAGGAUCUAACUUAUGACUCAUGUGUGAAGAGAUCCUUAGUGACAAACUUAACACAUAUUUUACUGAUAACAUCUUUCCUGGCAAAUCAGUAAGGUAAAAGGGUAUAUUCAAAUCAUAUGGUCCCCUCUCUAAAAAAAUUAUCCUUCAGAAAAGCAUAAUUUAAGGAGAUUUUCCCCAGAGUGCUGCCUUCGGCUUAGUUCUAUCUGAGGAAGACUAGGUCUGCCAUGUAAGGAAAGGAAUCUAUUGUUAUUUACUAGUAUAUCUAGUUCUUCAUUUGGGUAGAUUUUUAUUCACAGUAAGAAGGAAUGGUUUUGACCCCCAAUUCCUGAGAACUAAAUUGUUAAGAACUACAUUUAACUUGGAACCUAUCUUCGGCUACUGAAAAGAACUGUGCUACAGUCAAGUUUACAUUCACAAUAGCUACUUCAUGCUGUGGGCCUAAAAGUACUAUGGAGCGAGAGGGCUUGAAGUAUGUCUUUCAGAACUGCCAAAGUCAAGAACACCCUCACUCUAAUUUGUAUUGAAUAACCCAUAUCCAUUUUUCUGCACUGCUGUACACUACACAUGAUGCUUGCUAGUUUUAGGAAGUGGUUGGCAGCUGUAGCUGUUGAUUGCUGGGUCUGUAACUUUGUAUAAUUCUUCUCCUACCACAUUACUAGCUGGCUGGCUGUACAGAUUCCAGAAGAAGCCACUUUUUUAUUACCUCGUGACAUCACUCUGUGCCCAAUGCCUUGGCUAAUAGACUAGCUUUUGUUGUCUGUGAUCAUGGAUUUCCACUCACAGAGCAGUUGUCAUUGGUUAGCUGGGGUCCUCUUUGCAAACCCAGGCCAAAACAUCAAAAGGGGAGCACAGCUUCAACACUGGUGGGCCCUUCUAAUGUCUAAACGUCUGACUCUACUUUUUAAAAUGCUAUUCUGCAAUAAUUUUGCCUUUAUUCUGUUUGCUGGGGUUUUUGUUUUUCAUCUCUCAUUAUAUUUUUAAUGAGAUUUAAGAUUGUGUACUGUAUUUAGACAAACUGCUCAUUUUGUGCCAUUUUAGGAGAACCUGAGGAAUCAGGCCCGAGAAGUUUGUCUAGAUAACAUAGUACCAUGGUUUCUGAGCAUUGAGAACAAAAGGGGACCUAUAUGAUGUUUUUAUUUCAGUACAUCUUUUGUGUUUGAGCCAAUAAUAAUUAAAAAACGGCUGUUAGAGUUUUUAAUAAAAUAGAGCACAUUAUGAAAAACACUGUCAUUUUUCUGAGCACUCUAAUCAGGCAAUUGUGAAAAGAUGAGAGAAAAAAAAUUAUUAUAUUAAAUGUAUUUCUCUUAAUACCUGUGCUCAGAUGUCACCUUUAAAAAACAGGAGUAAAAUUUAUGAGUAGAACAGUAUGCAAGCCAUUCACCUUAAAUACGAAUUAGAAAAAAGCUCUUUAAGAGAAGGUUAAGUUAUAGGGCUGGAGGAACUAACAUAACCAAGCAUUUCCUGUGUCCAAGACUGUGGAGGGAGAAAAAAGUCCUUAUUUUGACAAUCUUUAUUGACCGAAAGUCUGUAAAAAUAAACUAAAAUCCUGCAUUGACAUCAUUCACUUCAGAGCUCUUCAUCAUUAAAUGAAUUCAUCUCAGAAAACAGCCGAGUUAAAGAAAAAAGGUACUCUCAGUAAGAAUGACAAAUUUCCUUGGUUUGGAAAUUUCCAAACCACGAUAUUCUGCCCUCUCAAAAUAUAUUCAUUGGGGAAUUUUUAACUUGUGAUACACUUCUUUUGAACUUAAUCACAAUUUUACAUCUAGCUGGUUUCAUGAUUAAAUAAAAGAGAAGGUGAUUCCCCUUUUGCACUAAAGGAGACCACACACUAACUUCUAGGUUCUUCUAUAGUAACACCGAAACCAGAAGCUUGUGGGAGAAAUGUCACUUUAUCUGAGAGAGUAAAAUCAGGCUCUAACAGGAAGUAGCAAAUUCAUCUCUUUCUUUUUUAAUCCACUCCUCUGCUCAAGACAAGUAGUUUGAAACCAAGCACUCUGUAAGUCAUACUUCCUUUACGUAGAUCAAAACCAAAGCCACUGUAGUGCUUUCCCCUAAGGAAUCUCUAAAUAGAAGAUGAUAUAGGCAGUUUACAAUGGAUUCCUUUGUAGGCAAGACCUUCCCUGCCUAUGCCAUAUCUUCUGAAAAAAAUAAAAUAAAGGUAAAACCUCAACUAUUUAUUACAGCAUGAAAAUCUACUCCAAACUCUAACUUUGUAAAGCAAGUUAAUUUCAGUUUUAAUCUUUAUGAAUCAUAAAGUAUUAUUUUUAAUAUUCUGGCCUUUCACAUCAAUUACCUUGUGUCCAGGUGAGAUAUAAAUCAGAAAAGGUAGCGCUCUAUCAGAACACAAGGUCUCCCCUCUGCGUUUUAGCAUUUGGGGACUUGCAAGAGUGGUUUCAUUUUUGUUUUAAAGAUGGUACGUAUGAGUAAAUCAUCCAAAGCAACUGCAGGAUAGAAUUUAAAACCUAAGAAUUCUACAAGUCUUCAGAUACAAUGUGAGGUAAAAAUGUCAUCAUUUAAUUGCCAAUUUCUCUACC
ensembl:lncRNA